CUAUGCCGAGCAUGGUUCGAGCCAGGGCUGCACUUAUGGCAAGAGUGAGCUCAAGUAAGAAGUAGACAUGGAACGCAUAGAGAACUAUAAUGAUUUUUGGGUGGAUAUAGUCACUAUAAUCAUAAACACGUACCAAAAUGGCCACUAAUAUACCCUUUAUUGCAUAAUUUAGAGGGCCUUCUCUUGGUUUUCUUGAUGGGGUUUCUUUGGUUUGGCCAUUUUGAUAUGCUUUUGGAGGUGGGUUUUCUUUGUUUUGAUGAUUUAAAGGCGUUUUGGGUGGCGGGUUCUUAUGGAUCUUGAUGGGUAAGCAAGAAACAGCCACAAAAAGAGGAAGAGAAAUUGAUGGAUCUGCAGAAAGAGGACCUUUGCCAAAAGCAAAGAGGAGGAGCUUGAAAUUUGCAAGCCAAGCAAUGAAAAAGGCAGUAGUGCCACCAAGAUGAGGAGAGAAGAUAUUGAGAGGAAGGUAAAGAAAGAGGCAAACAACAGGGAGAACAAAGAGUAGUCUUUUGAUCCCUAUAGGAAUAAUGUUUCUAAUUGCAUAACAAUGACAUAGAG
rnacentral:misc_RNA from 1 species